UUGAGGCUUUAUUAUUAUUAUUAUUAUUAUUACUGCACUGUAUUUUAGGUCGUUUCGAUCAUUGACUGCGGGCGAAUGAAUACAGCGCUCGGUGAACCAGUGACAUACUUUAACGAACGCUCGGCCCUACUUUACUCAUACGCGUGUGACGUCACAUAUCGUACAGCUUUUGAAGAUUGGAGUAUCUGAAAUUGUGGUUUAUCGUUUCAACAUCACAGACGACCUUAAAAUGUCCAGAUUUUAUCCACUGUUUCAACGUAAAGGUGCGUGAAAACAUACGGACAUUUGCCCCAAGUCACCCGGAACUUCCGGCACUCUUCCGCUUCUCGGUAACUUAUUCCUAAUGUCGCAAAUCAAGAACGGAAGCGCGAGAGAGCGCGAACCAGGCGAUGAGUAAGUAGGAAAAAAAAAUAUAUUUCAGUGUGGACGGGAUUGUAUUUGUUUUGUCCUGGAGCAGUGAGUUAAUGAAGGCCGUUCACCGGUGUCAGGUGUCGUGGUGGAACUGGACCGGAAAGACAACCAAGAAGAACCAACUCAUGGAGCAGCAGAACGACACCAGUCCAGAAUCAGACGGUUUAACCUGACGAAUUCAGGACCAACAUGGAGGAAAGGCAAAUGAAGAAGAAGACGAGGAGGACACGCUGUGUGACGGGACACCAGGAGGAAGAAGGACACGCCCACGCUGGCGUCAUGAACCAUCCAGAGACAAGGUCAUCUCUCUGCUGUUGCUGUGGAGACAGAGUCGGGGGAUUUUUCCCUUCCCCUCCUUACAUACAUGUGGUGUGGU